UACGUAGGGCGCAAGCGUUUAUCCGGAAUUAUUGGGCGUAAAGAGCUCGUAGGCGGUUUGUCGCGUCUGCCGUGAAAGUCCGGGGCUCAACUCCGGAUCUGCAGUGGGUACGGGCAGACUAGAGUGUGGUAGGGGAGACUGGAAUUCCUGGUGUAGCGGUGAAAUGCGCAGAUAUCAGGAGGAACACCGAUGGCGAAGGCAGGUCUCUGGGCCACUACUGACGCUGAGAAGCGAAAGCAUGGGGAGCGAACAGG
rnacentral:rRNA from 1 species